AUUUUUACCUAUUUUAGUAAUUUAUUGCUGUUUGUACUAAGCUCCCAGGUAAUGUAGCUAUACAAUUUGAGAACCAUCUAGAAAUCAUUUAAUCUAUCCCCAUUCCUCCAUUUUACAGAAGAGGAAAGAGAAUCCUAAAGAAGUGAUGCCAUUUGUUCAAGGAGCCAGUGUACUGAUGGAGCCAGUAUAUUGUUGUUGACACCUAAAUCUUGUCAAGUACUGGCAAACAGACAGACAAACAGAUGAACAAAUAAAUCAAAUAUUUACCACUUUAUAGAAAGGAAACCGAGGCUUAUCAUGAGUAAAAAGUUGCCGAAAGUCAUACAGCAGGACUGCAAGAGCUUCCACUCAGACACCAAAACGAAUGAUCGUGAAAGUAUGGAAUAUUCAUGCAAUGGAAUACCACUCGGCAGUAUAAAGGAACAAACUGCUGAUAAACACAACCCUGUGGGUUAAUCUCCAAAACAUUAGACUGAAAGAAAGAAUCCAAAGUAAAGUCUGUAAAAGAGUACUUACGGCACGAUUCCAUUUAUACGAAGCUCAGGAACAAGCAAAUCCGUGUUGAAAGCAAUCAGAGCAGCAGUGAGGAGUCGAACUGGAAGGAGGCUGAGGAAGAUUUUUCAAGGUGAUGGUUGUUUUCUCUGUCUUGACAGGGAUGUUGUGUUAUGUUGAUAUGUGCACUUGCCAAAUUGCGUGUAAUUAUAACACUUAAGAUCAGUGUUGUCCACUGUAUCUAUGUUAUGCCUUAAAAUCAAAGUUAUUAAGAGAAAAAACGUGUGGUUAUUUUCCUUUUUGCCUUUACUUCCAGCAGCAUUUUAAGUAUAACCAAUUAACCAAUAAUAACUUCAAAUUGUUUCUUUUUCCACAUGACAUGUAGAAUCAGAUUAUCCUUCUCCAAAUCAAUCCUGAGGGUGUUUUAAUUGGAAUUACAUCUCAUUUAACCAUUAAAAAAACCUGAGAAGAAGCUUUCCAUUUUGUCUUCUUUCAUCAUCUGAAUUUUUCUUCAUACAACUUUUGUA
rnacentral:lncRNA from 1 species